rnacentral:ncRNA from 1 species
UGAAAAGUGUUGUUUUAACGGUUUACAUUUUUGCUUUUUUCAAGCGUAAUGGUCUAAGCCUGCAUGACUGUGAGACUCACUGGUCGAACAGAGACGAAAGUCCGCCAUAGUGAUCCGGGAGUCCCGCGUGGAAGGGCUCUCGCUCAA